AUUGAACGCUGGCGGCAGGCUUAACACAUGCAAGUCGAGCGAGCGGCGGACGGGUGAGUAACGUCUGGGAAACUGCCUGAUGGAGGGGGAUAACUACUGGAAACGGUAGCUAAUACCGCAUACCAUCAGAUGUGCCCAGAUGGGAUUAGCUAGUAGGUGGGGUAAUGGCUCACCUAGGCGACUAUCCCUAGCUGGUCUGAGAGGAUGACCAGCCACACUGGAACUGAAACCCGGUCCGGAGUCCUACGGGAGGCAGCAGUAGAGAAUAUUGCGCAAGGGGAGCAACCCUGACACAGACAUACAGCGUGAAUGAAGAAGGCCUUCGGGUUGUAAAGUUCUUUCGGUAGCGAGGCGUUAACUACAGAAGAAGCACCGGCUAACUCCGUGCCAGCAGCCGCGGUAAUAC
rnacentral:rRNA from 1 species